AGUUGUUAGAUGGACAAGAUGACAUUUUAAAAUUACUGUAUAUUGGUGCCUCAUAUGAAAUUCCAUCGGAUCAACAGUAUUGUGUCCUAAAUGACCCCACUAAGCAGGCUGGGAAGACCUGAUUCAGCACUGUAUUUAGGUGUCUUCAGUACUGGAUUCCUAUAGGCUAUUCUGAGUUCAUAAAUAUGCGGAACUUCAUACAAGCAGCCCUUGAAAGUCAAUGUCUGCAGAUUUUACUGGUUGUUCUUAGUGACAUUGACAUCUCACUGUGAAAACUUUCACGCUGUUGGACUACACACGUGGGCUGCCCUGGAAGUGAUUCUUAAACCGGAGAAGAUCUCUGUAGAUGUGAGGAGGCACAAAAGGGACAGUUUAUUCUUUCGAAGUUGCUGGAACUGCUUGCAGUAAGAAAUAAAAGCUGUGCGUCAAUCAAGAAAACUAUUUCAAUUGUUCAGAACAUGCUGCUAAACUAACCUUUGCAGCUACAUUUUUAGACGUACCAUG